CCGGCACGGGUGAGUAACACGUAUCCAACCUGCCGUCUACUCUUGGCCAGCCUUCUGAAAGGAAGAUUAAUCCAGGAUGGCAUCAUGAGUUCACAUGUCCGCAUGAUUAAAGGUACUUUCCGGUAGACGAUGGGGAUGCGUUCCAUUAGAUAGUAGGCGGGGUAACGGCCCACCUAGUCAACGAUGGAUAGGGGUUCUGAGAGGAAGGUCCCCCACAUUGGAACUGAGACACGGUCCAA
rnacentral:rRNA from 1 species